rnacentral:rRNA from 1 species
CAGCCGCCGCGGUAAUACGAAGGGGGCUAGCGUUGUUCGGAUUUACUGGGCGUAAAGCGCACGUAGGCGGACUUUUAAGUCAGGGGUGAAAUCCCGGGGCUCAACCCCGGAACUGCCUUUGAUACUGGGAGUCUUGAGUUCGAGAGAGGUGAGUGGAAUUGCGAGUGUAGAGGUGAAAUUCGUAGAUAUUCGCAGGAACACCAGUGGCGAAGGCGGCUCACUGGCUCGAUACUGACGCUGAGGUGCGAAAGCGUGGGGAGCGAACAGGAUUAGAUACCCCCGUAGUCCCUGUCUCUUAUAC